rnacentral:rRNA from 1 species
UGGGGAAUCUUAGACAAUGGGGGGAACCCUGAUCUAGCCAUGCCGCGUGAUCGAUGAAGGCCUUAGGGUUGUAAAGAUCUUUCAGUUGGGAAGAUAAUGACGGUACCAACAGAAGAAGCCCCGGCUAACUCCGUGCCAGCAGCCGCGGUAAUACGGAGGGGGCUAGCGUUAUUCGGAAUUACUGGGCGUAAAGCGCACGUAGGCGGACUUGAAAGUUGGGGGUGAAAGCCCAGGGCUCAACCCUGGAACUGCCCUCAAAACUCCAGGUCUUGAGGUCGAGAGAGGUGAGUGGAAUUCCGAGUGUAGAGGUGAAAUUCGUAGAUAUUCGGAGGAACACCAGUGGCGAAGGCGGCUCACUGGCUCGAUACUGACGCUGAGGUGCGAAAGCGUGGGGAGCAAACAGG